AUAAAACAUUAAGAAAAUAAGAUAAGACCUUACGAUGCAUUAAACUUGAAUGGCUCUUUAUUUAGGGAAAGCAUGCAAAACUUCUAGCUUGAUUAUUCCUUUGACAUUUUACACGCUAUUUCAGAUGAUCAUAACCGUUUUUGCAAGAGACUAAUCAGAUAUGUCAGGACGUGGAAAAGGUGAUUCGUCAUCAGACAAAGGGGGCAAAUCUGGUAAAUCAGCCAAAGAUGGCGAAGAUGAAGGUAAGUGCUAUAUGAUUUUAAUGAAUUUAACUCACCACACAUAUACUUAUGUUAUUUAACUAUGUGUCGUCAGAUGAUUUAAAAAGUUGAUCAAUCUGAAUUUGUUAUGAAUUCAAUGCUGAAAAGUUCAGAAAUUAGUGCAUGCAUUUAUUGUUGCGAUUUCGUCAUUUAAGAAUAUAAUGCAUUUUCACUAUUUGCGAUAUUGAGAAACAUCCUGUCUAAUUUAUACAAAUAAUUCAAAAUGUGAGUUUAAACUAUUGCGAUUAUGACUCUGUCGCAUUUUUCUGAAUUUAUUUACAAGUAUCUAAAUGUGUUUAAAUGUUUUAAUGUAUCGCAUUGCAGGGUUAUCAAGUAAUGUACAGUGUGUAAGCGAUAAUCUUUUCUCUCCAACGAGACCCAAUGAGG
rnacentral:lncRNA from 1 species